rnacentral:rRNA from 1 species
GAUGAACGCUGGCGGCGUGCCUAACACAUGCAAGUCGAACGAAGCACCUUACCUGAUUCUUCGGAUGAAAGUUGGGCGACUGAGUGGCGGACGGGUGAGUAACGCGUGGGUAACCGGCACUGCACAGGGGGAUAACAGCUGGAAACGGCUGCUAAUACCGCAUAAGCGCACGAGGAGACAUCUUCUGGUGUGAUAAACUCCGGUGGCACAGGAUGGGCCCGCGUCUGAUUCGCGGGUUGGCAGGGGAACGGCCUACCAAGGCAACGAUCAGUAGCCGGUCUGUGAAGAUGCACAGCCGCACUGGAACUGGGCCCCGGUCCAUACUGCUACGAGAGGCAGCAGUGGGGAAUAUUGGAGCGUGGGGCAGAUCCUGAUGCAGCGACGGCGCGUGAGUGGAGAUGUAUUUCGGAAUGUAUAGCGCUAUGAGCAGAGCAGAUAGUGACGGUACCUAGAUAAGAAGCACCGGCUAACUACGUG